AGUGAACGCUGGCGGUAGACCUAACACAUGCAAGUCGAACGGCAGCACAGUAAGAGCUUGCUCUUACGGGUGGCGAGUGGCGGACGGGUGAGGAAUACAUCGGAAUCUACUUUUUCGUGGGGGAUAACGUAGGGAAACUUACGCUAAUACCGCAUACGACCUACGGGUGAAAGCAGGGGAUCUUCGGACCUUGCGCGAUUGAAUGAGCCGAUGUCGGAUUAGCUAGUUGGCGGGGUAAAGGCCCACCAAGGCGACGAUCCGUAGCUGGUCUGAGAGGAUGAUCAGCCACACUGGAACUGAGACACGGUCCAGACUCCUACGGGAGGCAGCAGUGGGGAAUAUUGGACAAUGGGCGCAAGCCUGAUCCAGCCAUACCGCGUGGGUGAAGAAGGCCUUCGAGUUGUAAAGCCCUUUUGUUGGGAAAGAAAAGCAGCAGGUUAAUACCCCGCUGUUCUGACGGUACCCAAAGAAUAAGCACCGGCUAACUUCGUG
rnacentral:rRNA from 1 species